AAUCCAAAGAGGGGUUCACAUGAACUGCCUUCAUAAAGCCUCCCCUUCACGGUUGUUUUCUUUUCUUGAUUCUUCUUAUGCUUCUCGAUGCAGUCUCUCUCAAUUUCUUACCAGCUCUCCACUUCUUCACACAAAGCAACCGCACUACAAUUCCUUAUCCAGUCCAGGUUUCAAGUUUGCAAUUUAAUGUCGGUUCCAGGACAUGAACUGCCUUCAUAAGCCUCCCCUUCACGGUUGUUCUCUCUGCUUGAUUCUUCUUAUGCUUCUCGAUGCAGGUCUCUCUCAAUUUCUUACCAGCUCUCCUCUUCUUCACACAAAGCAACCGCGCUACAAUUCCUUAUCCAGGCCAGGUUAUCACGUGAUUCACGAGGGAUGCCCAGGUACAUGCUAUUCACUUUGUUCUUCAAAUAGUGAUUCGAUAUGGCAGAGGAAAUCGUGCCUUUGACAAGAUGAAAGAUGGUAAGUUUUGAAAACCCCAAAUAUUGGUUUUGCUCUAUUUGUUGAAUUUGUUUCCUUCCGGAGAGAGGCGAUAGCAAAUGAUAAUGAGAAGAUCUUGAAGCUGAGAGAUAGAUCUUGGAGAGGCAAUGGAGAAAUUCAAUGAAAGAAAUGAAACUUUAAAAUAGAGGAAGAAGACAUAAGCAGCAAACUAGCAAAAUUAGAACUCAAAGAUAAGGUAGGUGGUGCUACUUCAUUGUGAAUUUUACUACCUAGAUGUUGACUAUUGCGCGUGAACGCUUGCAAAUUUUUAAUGUUAAAUAUGAAGUAGCCUGCCCAUCUUGAUGUUUGCUAGGAUGGAGCCUUAAAACAUGCAGAGCUGCACAUCGAGAGGUGAUCUUUCAAUCUCUAUAAAUUCAGCUGUUCUUCCUACCUAUAAAGUCUAUCAUAAACUAUUUAAAGAAACUUAGGUGAAUUGGGUUGCAUAAACAGAAUUGAUAUUUUAGUUCUAUUGCAGGUGAAAUUCAUGGCAACACUCGGGAACCCAUAUAUUCUGGAGUAUAAAGAUGGGUUGGUGGAAAAGGAUGUUGCAUGUUUGAGAUAGCAUCAUAGCAGCACAUCAACCUGCAUUUAGAGCAACUGUAAGUAUUGACUUCUAUGUCUUAGUUUAAAGCAUUGAAUAUCAAUCCAAUUUCAACUGUUAAAAAGAUUUAAAUUAUCGAACAGAAGAUGUCCGGUCUCAUUGACAAAAUCAACCUUUCCACCAUUUCUCCACUCCCUACUGGGUAUUAAUCUUCAUUAUAAGUAUUUCUCAUUCUAAAGAAAACAAAAAAUAUUUCUCAAUCAGUUCUAUGUAAUAUUUUGUAGAAUAUUCAAUACUCAUUCAACUGAAGGUUUUGGCUUUAUUGAUGCAGUAAAAGACUGACCGAAGAGCAUGCUAAGAAAGAACCUAUAGCAUAGACCCACAGUGAGUGGAAGUGGUCCAAACCUUUAUCUUCUCUUUAGGAGAACAAUGAAGUACUAUUAAUACUCAAAUUUCUACACAUCUUUAGGCUUCAAAGUUGCAGAGGCAUCUCCAUCUACAAACACAUCUUGCUCAAUGCCAAAACAUAUCCCCAGUCUUGACCUAGGUAUGAUGUUUAAUGCAUUGAAUGCUGUUAAAGAUUCUCAGAGAACAUCUCUCUCCAGGUUUACUUUUGUCUUGGUCUGUUGCCUAUCAUUUAUUUAUUGAAGUUUUCAAGCUA